UACGUAGGGACCAAGCGUUGUUCGGAUUUACUGGGCGUAAAGGGCGCGUAGGCGGCGUGACAAGUCACUUGUGAAAUCUCUGAGCUUAACUCAGAACGGCCAAGUGAAACUGUUGUGCUAGAGUGCAGAAGGGGCAAUCGGAAUUCUUGGUGUAGCGGUGAAAUGCGUAGAUAUCAAGAGGAACACCUGAGGUGAAGACGGGUUGCUGGGCUGACACUGACGCUGAGGCGACGAAAGCCAGGGACGCAAACGGG
rnacentral:rRNA from 1 species